AGUGCUGUAUUGUUGAGUUUUGUAUGAACUAAUCUAGCUUCUCUAAAAAAAAAAAAAAAAAAAAAAAAAAGAAAGAAAAGAAAGAAAGAAAAGAAAGAAAGAAAGAAAAAAAAAGAAAAGAAAAAAAAGAGAACCACAGCUUUGGACAAAAGUCUAUAGCCAGUGCAUUUGAAAACUCCCCUUGCACCAGGGCUGACUGUAGCUGGGGGAAGACAUUUUACUCAUUUGCUCUUUCCUUUCAUACAGUCAGCUGGUCCCUCUUCUCAGGUGUAGAUCACCUAUUAUAAUUUUACCUAAUUUUGAUACUCUGAUAAGGAAAGUCCCAGGACUUAUCAGCUGGGAUAGGCCUCACUUACAAGACAGCUCUGUUCAGUAUUUGGAAGAAAGCCUGACAGGUUUCUUCGGAAAAGUGGCCAUCCAUGGAAUGAAUGAAAUGUUCUCUUUCUAUUCCAAUCCAACUUAGAAAUAAUGUUUCAUUCAAGAUAAGGCUCGUGGCUUAGGAGAUUGUGACCUGGCUUGCAUCAUUCUAAGACUUCUAUCGUCUGUUUUCAAAACCCAAGGAGGACCUCCUUUUCUGUGUGAUAGUUCCUCAUGCUUUGCCAGCCACUGGGUCUUUAAGGAAGCUUGCCAAGAGUUCCCGGCUGGGAAGGACAGUUCGAGUUCAUCAUAGACAAUGAGCUGGCACCACAGUUUAAGUGACUCACCAACCUGGUUGCCCACUUCAAAAUGUCAAGAACCACACUAUCUAAUUGAAAGAACUGUGUUUUAGCAAAGUGUAAUUGGAUCGCCUGGCAAGAUCAUCUCAAACUAUGUCUCUGACCUUGCCUUUCAGUGGCUAUUUUGAGCACAAGAGGAGAAAGGAAAUGAUUCCUGAAUUAUAUCUUGUUUUUAAAAAUUAAGAUUAAUUAAUACUUGGUUUUAUGUUCAUUCCAUUGUAGGAACUUAGUGAUUAUUACAAAACAGUCAAAAUAGGUCAUAGCAAAAUGAACGUUUAAGAUUAGGUUAAAACAUUCCUCUGAAAUUUUAGUAUUCACUUUUGAAGUGUCAAUUACUAUAUUUCUGUAAUUUCUCAUUUUUUUCUUGGCUUAGAGUCAAGAUGAAAAAUGAUAUUUGAAUCAAAGACAUUGUUUUGUUAUAUAGCCACUCCUUUCUAAAAUGCAAAUCCACCCUCCCCUCACCAAUGCUUUAUUCUUUGUGCGCGCACACACACACACACACACACACACACACACACACACACACAGACAUACACAGAACCAGCACCCAAAUGGUAGAGGAGGUCCUUCCAAGACUUCUAGGACCUGGAUCAUGUAAGCAGUAGAUGAGAAAAUGAAGUAAGAGAUAUAGAGUAAUAACAAUAAAAGUCAAUGAUUUCAUUUUACAAAAAAGUCAUUGUGUAGUACUCAGAUAUUUUUAAGAGCAAGUAUUAUUAUGACUAAAGUAUAUUAUACUUCUAAAUUAUUAUGAUUCUCAUCUAAUUUCAAGCCACACAUAGGCGCCAUUUGAAAGCAUUUUGUGUUACAACCUAUCAACAAAAAUCAACUAAUAGUUUUAUAACGUGCAUAGGUUUACCCCAUGGGGAAUUAAAAUUUUUAUCUGCAAGUAUUUCUGUUGUUGUGAGACUUUAGGACAAGACAACAUUUGGUGUUAACAUAGAAGAAUAUUCUAUGGCUUUUUUAGCUUUAAAGUUCAUUACUCUAAAAUAAAGUACACGUGGUAUUUUUUUCUUCCUAGUGUUCUCUUAUUAUAUGUAGAGUAUUUUCGGUUGUUGUUUUUAACGUAUACAUUAUUUUUAUUAAGUCAUUUCAUAAAAGAUAAGAUAUAUACUAAUAGACCCUUGGUUUUCUCCUAAUUUAAUUAUUUCAAGUCAAGCAAAAUUGGGCAAUUUUCUUUCAGGAAAAAAAAAAUAUUGAGCAUGAUUUUGAGGUAAAACUGAUUAUUUACAGCAUCUUUUCUCUAAUAGGCUAACAUUUAUGAUGGAUCUUAUUUCAAAGUUGAUUAUUCUCAAAGAAAAGUGGAGAUAUUAGAAUUUCCGAGUAAAUUGCAUUGUUUUAAAAAGUACUUUAAUGCAUUGUUCACAUUGUUGCCAGCUAUUGACCAAAAAAA
rnacentral:sRNA from 1 species